UACGUAGGGUGCAAGCGUUAAUCGGAAUAACUGGGCAUAAAGGGUGCGCAGGCGGAUUUGCAAGACAGAUGUGAAAGCCCUGGGCUUAACCUGGGAACUGCAUUUGUGACUGCAAGUCUAGAGUAUGGCAGAGGGAGGUGGAAUUCCAUGUGUAGCAGUGAAAUGCAUAGAGAUAUGGAGGAACACCGAUGGCGAAGGCAGCCUCCUGGGCCAAUACUGACGCUCAGGCACGAAAGCGUGGGGAGCAAACAGG
rnacentral:rRNA from 1 species